GAUGAACGCUGGCGGCGUGCCUAAUACAUGCAAGUAGAACGCUGAAGGAGGAGCUUGCUCUUCUGGAUGAGUUGCGAACGGGUGAGUAACGCGUAGGUAACCUGCCUGUUAGCGGGGGAUAACUAUUGGAAACGAUAGCUAAUACCGCAUGACAACAUUUAUUGCAUGAUAACUGUUUAAAAAGGGCACCUUCUCCACUACCAAAUGGACCUGCGUUGUAUUAUCUAGUUGUUGAGGUAACGACACACCAAGGGGACGAUCCAUAGCCGACCUGGGAGGGUGAUCGGCCACACUGGGAAUGGGACAAGGCCCAGACUCCUACGGGAGGCAGCAGUAGGGAAUCUUCGGCAAUGGACGGAAGUCUGACCGAGCAACGCCGCGUGAGUGAAGAAGGUUUUCGGAUCGUAAAGCUCUGUUGUAAGAGAAGAACGAGUGUGAGAGUGGAAAGUUCACACUGUGACGGUAUCUUACCAGAAAGGGACGGCUAACUACGUG
rnacentral:rRNA from 1 species